CCAUGGGAGAGUGGAUCAUUGGAGCUUUCAUCAAUCUCUUUGGCAGCAUUGCCAUCAACUUUGGGACUAACCUUCUUAAAUUGGGUCAUACUGAGAGAGAGAGGCAUUCUACGCUAGACAUUGAUGGAACAAGUGGGAAGAGUCAUUUGAAGCCUAUCAUAUACUUUCAAACUUGGAGAGUUGGUAUUCUUUUUUUCUUUCUUGGAAAUUGCCUUAAUUUCAUUUCAUUUGGAUAUGCUGCUCAGUCACUUCUUGCCGCCUUGGGAUCAGUUCAGUUUGUAUCCAACAUUGCAUUUGCCUAUUUUGUGCUGAACAAAUUGGUGACUGUUAAAGUCCUUGUAGCUACAGCCUUUAUUGUUCUGGGGAACGUUUUUCUUGUUUCCUUUGGCAACCACCAGUCUCCUGUGUACACACCAGAGCAAUUGGCGGAGAAAUACAGCAACAUGACUUUCCUUUUUUACUGUAUGAUUUUGGUCUUAGUUGUUGCCUUGCAUCAUUACAUUUACAGGAGAGGAGAACUUUUGAUUGCUGUUUCUGGACAAGACCUUAGACCUUAUUGGCAGAUGCUUCUUCCUUUUUCAUACGCUGUGGUUUCUGGUGCAGUGGGAUCAUACUCAGUGCUGUUUGCAAAAUCUCUGUCUAACUUGCUAAGAUUGGCCAUGUCUAAUGGUUAUCAGUUACACAGUUGGUUCACUUACUCCAUGCUUCUUUUAUUUUUCAGUACAGCUGGAUUUUGGAUGACAAGAUUGAACGAAGGAUUGUCACUUUUUGAUGCAAUCCUUAUUGUUCCGAUGUUUCAGAUUGUUUGGACUUUCUUCUCUAUUUGUACUGGAUUUGUCUACUUUCAGGAAUAUCAGGUAUUUGAUGCACUGAGGACAACAAUGUUCAUACUGGGGAUGAUGAGUGUCUUCAUUGGCAUUUCUUUGCUGGCACCUGAUGAGUCAAGAGGUAUUUGAUAGGUUACUAGUGUUUGUUCAAAAUGUAAUUCCACAAAGGACAAAAAGUUCAACUUAUUUUGAAAAUUUUCAGGUGCUGAGGUCAAAGAUAAUGCAUCUUUAGUUUCAAUUGUGUCUUCAAGUGUUUCAAGCGAAUCAGACAGGUAUUAUAUAUUUAUUGAAAUCAAUUUUCUCAGAAAUUGGUGAAGACAUUGAAGUUUGGGAUCACCCAUUUCAUUUCUGAUUUGUGAUAGAGAUAGAUUGGGAUCUUCUGAAGUUCAUAUGAACAUGUUUUAUCAUGUUCAUUUAAUUCUAGCCUUUAUUUGAAAAUGCAUGGUCAGGAUUUAUAUCACAAUCACUCCCUUGAAGACAGGCAAAACAUUACCCAUGUAAAACUGCCUGCAUGAACAUUCAUUUUCAAUCUAAGGGAUAGGAUAGGAUUGAUGGAACAUAACAAGUGAGAUUAAUAGUAACUUGAGAGGAUUUUAGUAUGUAACAGACUCAAGGGUAAUUGUAAAGCUGAUAAAUGAGUAUUAUUUUGUGCUUGUAUUUUUUGACCUUCAGUUUAGAGUCUUUUUAAGUUCUUGAAUUGUUGCUUUUGCUUCUGUUUUUUGGAUUUUGCAAAAAACAACGGCAUUAAAGUUGAAAGUUCAAUAUUGUGGCAUACAUGACAACUUAUUACCAAAUGCUGUUAUAUGGAAUUAGUUCUUUUUUAGAAUAUGUAUUUGUAAUUGUGCCUUAUUAGAUUUGUAUUUUUUCUGUGGAUUUCACCAGUUUUUGUCAUAUGUAUAGGCUGAUCAAACCAGUUGAAGAUGCACAAAAUAAAGACCCAAGAUCAUUUGUACAAGGAAUAGCAGUGAAGGUCACAGAAAUGCUAAACAAGGCAAAGACUGCUUGUUCUUUAUCACUAGGUUUUGGAGAGGACUCCAUCAAUGCAUCUGCAGUUCUUGUUAUGCCCAUGGUUUCAUCAAAGAUAACAGGUUUCAGGGGAAGUGUGUUCGACCGGCCUAAGGUUUUCUCCUUGAGAAAUUCGGGUUGGAGUAAGAUUUCAAUGGAAGAAGAUGGUGUAAAAGUGCUAGACUCAAACCCAGUGCUUCCUCAAACCCUUUGACAGAAGUGGCAACAAUGAAUAUCGCAAGUUUGCCAUGAGGAUUUUUCCUUUUUUCACUUUAAAUUGUCUCUGUUUAUAGCAUUACAAUUGUUUAGUAUCAACUGAAAUGUGCUACAUCUCAAGCAUUCUUGUAUUUUUGAAACAGCAGCAUAUUGUAUAUUCUUU
rnacentral:misc_RNA from 1 species